GUUAUGUUAAAUAACUCUAUAUUGCCAAUUUUAAAGUAUGUUUGUCGUAGUCUAAUGGUUGUACGUCAUCCUAGAGAUCACGAAUUCAAUUUCAUGUUUCGAAAAAAAAUUGUUUGCAUUUGUUUUUUGGGUGUACCUAGAGACACUAGGAAACCUAAUCUAAACCAUCGCUUACUCGGACUAUUUCAAUCGAAAAAUAUCCCUAGAUUUGUUGUGCGAACUUUUCUACCAGAAAUCUUGCUCUAAUGUAUCAAGUUUAAUACAUUUUCUGAAAAGAAAUUUUUUCUACAUGGUACUUUAGGUUAGUCAUUUUUUGGUUUUCCAAGUGUGGUUUUCAUAAUAUCUAGAAAAAACCGGGAAAAAAACACGGG